UACAGAGGUCCCGAGCGUUGUUCGGAUUCACUGGGCGUAAAGGGUGCGUAGGUGGUUGUGCAAGUCUGAUGUGAAAUCUCCGGGCUUAACCCGGAAAUGGCAUUCGAUACUGCUGUGGCUAGAGUCCAGUAGGGGAGCGUGGAAUUCCCAGUGUAGCGGUGAAAUGCGCAGAUAUUGGGAGGAACACCAGUGGCGAAGGCGGCGCUCUGGGCUGGAACUGACGCUGAGGAGCGAAAGCGUGGGGAGCGAACAGG
rnacentral:rRNA from 1 species